AAAAAAUGACCUUUCGUUGAAUAAUUUUGGAGCAGAAAUAAAAGAAGGCUUGCUGCUACCAGAAAGUCAUUAAGGCAUUAGUUUCUCUAAGAAGACAGAUCUGAAGAAUGUGCAAGAAAAUGAGAAAAAAAUAAAAACAAGGUCUCUAUUGGCUUUCCUGAACGUAAGAAAAAGAAUCUUCAGAGAAAAAGGAAAGAGGAAGAGGGGAGGGGGCUCAGAAAACAAUAACAGCAGCCUAUCUACAUUGUGCUUUACAGUCUACAGUGUGCAUUCAUAUUUAACACUUUGGACUGAACAUUUGACACUUUGGAGUGAAUAGAUAUAAUUAUCCUCAGUUUACAGGUGGGAAAAUGAAGGCACAGAAAAGAUGAAGAAAUGAAGGCUCGGAAUGGACAAGUAACUUAUCGAAGGACACAUAGCUAAGUGGUAAUAGUUGGAUUUUGAACUUAGACCGUUUGGCACUUGAUUCUAUUUUACUACAUUACACUGCUGCCUAUUAGAAAGUUCAAUCACUGAUCAUAUUGCCUAACAAAUAAUAAAUUCAUUAUAAACAUUUAUUGAAUGAAUGAGAAUGAAUGAAUUAAUGUUGAUACGGGUUAAACUUGUAGGACAAUCUCACUAUGCUAGUAUUGUUAUAAAGAAGAAAACUAGGUAAUUAUUCAUUACACUUAAUCCAUGUUGAUGACCAGGCCAAGUCAAACACUCAUUUAUGACUCAAUAUUAUCUUCUUUUUUUGACCAGCUAUUAUAAUUACCUAAACCAUUCACUGAGAAUUUCCUAAAACAAAGCAAAAAGAAGAAGGUAUAGUAUCAGAUAAAUUUGGUAUCUAACUCAAGACCAAUAUUUCACAUUUCAAAUUAUUCCACGGACCAGUAUAAUCUAAAUUUAUUACUAAAGAUGCCAACAGACAUGGAGAAGAGAAAAAAAUUAAGAAAGUCAUAAUAUAACCACUGUCAAAGCAGAUGGGGUGGAAAGGAAUCUAGGAACUAUACAUUUGACUUUCUGGACUAAUCCAUGAGAUUAUUGUUUAGACGGAUUGCUCUAUACUGCAUAAUUCAAGUUUUACCUCAUACUAUUUGUAUGUGUUUCUCUCUGUCCAUCUGUAUUGAGUUUUCUAGUUUGACAAUGGACAUUAUUCUGGUGAGCUGGCUAAUUUCCAAGACUCCCUUUUAUUUCAUAACAGAUAGAAUUAGCCACAAUUUCUAUUUCACACUGCCUAUGUGUAGACACAGGGAUCACUCAAUUUGCAAGAAGAAAAAUAAGUUACCGUG
rnacentral:lncRNA from 10 species